GAUGAACGCUAGCGGCAGGCUUAACACAUGCAAGUCGAGGGGCAGCAUAAUGGAUAGCAAUAUCUAUGGUGGCGACCGGCGCACGGGUGAGUAACGCGUAUCCAACCUGCCCAUCACUUGGGGAUAACCUUGCGAAAGUAAGACUAAUACCCAAUGACGUCUCUAGAAGACAUCUGAAGGAGAUUAAAGAUUUAUCGGUGAUGGAUGGGGAUGCGUCUGAUUAGCUUGUUGGCGGGGUAACGGCCCACCAAGGCGACGAUCAGUAGGGGUUCUGAGAGGAAGGUCCCCCCACAUUGGAACUGAGACACGGUCCAAACUCCUACGGGAGGCAGCAGUGAGGAAUAUUGGUCAAUGGACGAGAGUCUGAACCAGCCAAGUAGCGUGCAGGAUGAAGGCUCUAUGGGUCGUAAACUUCUUUUAUAUGGGAUAAAGUUUCACGUGUGGAAUUUUGUAUGUACCAUAUGAAUAAGGAUCGGCUAACUCCGUGCCAG
rnacentral:rRNA from 1 species